rnacentral:misc_RNA from 1 species
AAAAACUUCCAGAAACGUCAUGGCAUUCGGCAUUCCUGGGGUCACGAUAGUAACAGCGGGAACCGCAAGAUGAUCUUUAUCAUGGCAUUCAGUGAAGGAACUCAAAAGCAGGUUGACGCCGAAGCCAACUUGUACAAAGACAUUGUUCAAGAAAACUUCAAGGACGGUUACUGGAGCAACACGUUAAAAAUGGAGAUGGCAUUUAAUUGGAUAACAAAAUUUUGUAGAAAUGCCAGAUAUGUUGUUUUUGUAGACGAUGACAUGUAUGUGAAUUUCCCAAAUACUUUGAAUUAUUUACGUUCGGUUGAUGAGAAAAAAAUUGAUAACCUUUACAGUGGGCUUGUCGUAGAUGAACCAUUCCCAACGCGAGAUUACUUCAACAAACACUACGUGUCAAGACAGGCCUAUCCGCUUGACUGUUUUCCACCAUACAUUCCUUCAGGGACUGUUUUCUUUAGCAAAGCAGCCGUUCAAAAACUCCAAAAAGCCAUGCCAUACAUUCCAAGGUUUCAUGAGGAUGAUGUUUACCUCGCUAUGGUUGCACAGAAGGUCGGAGUAACUCCAUCAAAGAUCAAUUUUCUCAUUAGACUAAAGGACAGUAGAACGGAUCUCAAGUUCAUACCGUGUUUGAUUUCUGACCAUGGGUAUUCCACAAUAGAGAGUUUUCAGUCGGCCUUUAGUGUGACUCAUUCCAAAAAUUUAACUGUAGACCUAAUAAUGGAUGUAUGUACGCAAGGUGAUACAAGCAGAGAUUUGUGAAACUGCGCCAUGUUAAUUUACGACACUUCCAAUACAAAAGUGCCAUGACAUUGAAUUGAAUGACAAGUAUUGGGGUAUUCCACAAUAGAGAGUUUUCAGUCGGCCUAUAGUGUGACCCAUUCCAAAAAUUUAACUGUAGACAUAAUAAUGGAUGUAUGUACGCAAGGUGAUACAAGCAGAGAUUUGUGAAACUGCGUCAUGAUAUUUUACGACUUCGAAUACAAAAGAUUGAAUUGAAUGACACGUAUUGAGGAACAUCUAAUCAGAAGACUUCCAAAAAUCGCGAUGGAAAUGAAACUACUUGUGAAAAGUACAUUCAAACAAAAUGAUCUCAAAUCUGUUGAACAUUUAAAAUCAACCCACUGAGUUCUCAGAGAGUGUCAUUUUUAUUUUAACAUUUUGCUGGUGUGCCAUAAUUUAAGGUGAAUGACAGUUUUGGAUGGCUAACAAAACUGAAGAAUUUUGAAAAUUAGGAUGAAGUAGAAAUACAUUUAUUUAUAUUUGUAUAUAUUUCCGAACUAUGUGAAUAUAUUGUACAUUUUU